UACGUAGGGUGCAAGCGUUAAUCGGAAUUACUGGGCGUAAAGCGUGCGCAGGCGGUUUUGUAAGUCUGUCGUGAAAUCCCCGGGCUCAACCUGGGAAUUGCGAUGGAGACUGCAAGGCUGGAGUCUGGCAGAGGGGGGUAGAAUUCCACGUGUAGCAGUGAAAUGCGUAGAGAUGUGGAGGAACACCGAUGGCGAAGGCAGCCCCCUGGGUCAAGACUGACGCUCAUGCACGAAAGCGUGGGGAGCAAACGGG
rnacentral:rRNA from 1 species